rnacentral:rRNA from 1 species
UACGUAGGGGGCGAGCGUUAUCCGGAUUUACUGGGUGUAAAGGGAGCGCAGACGGAUGAGGAAGUCAGAUGUGGAAGCCAUGGGCAUAACCCGUGGAGUGCAUUUGAAACUCCUAAUCUAGAGUACUGGAGGGGUGAGCGGAAUUCCUGGUGUAGCGGUGAAAUGCGUAGAUAUCAGGAAGAACACCGGCGGCGAAGGCGGCUCACUGGACAGCAACUGACGUUGAGGCUCGAAGGCGUGGGGAG